rnacentral:rRNA from 1 species
CCUACGGGCGGCAGCAGUGGGGAAUAUUGGACAAUGGGGGGAACCCUGAUCCAGCCAUGCCGCGUGUGUGAAGAAGGCCCUCGGGUUGUAAAGCACUUUCAGUGAGGAAGAACGCCUGGUGGUUAAUACCCAUCAGGAAAGACAUCACUCACAGAAGAAGCACCGGCUAACUCCGUGCCAGCAGCCGCGGUAAUACGGAGGGUGCGAGCGUUAAUCGGAAUUACUGGGCGUAAAGCGCGCGUAGGUGGCUUGAUAAGCCGGUUGUGAAAGCCCCGGGCUCAACCUGGGAACGGCAUCCGGAACUGUCAAGCUAGAGUGCAGGAGAGGAAGGUAGAAUUCCCGGUGUAGCGGUGAAAUGCGUAGAGAUCGGGAGGAAUACCAGUGGCGAAGGCGGCCUUCUGGACUGACACUGACACUGAGGUGCGAAAGCGUGGGUAGCAAACAGGAUAGAAACCCUUGUAGUC